rnacentral:rRNA from 1 species
AUUGAACGCUGGCGGCAUGCCUUACACAUGCAAGUCGAACGGCAGCACGGGUGCUUGCACCUGGUGGCGAGUGGCGAACGGGUGAGUAAUACAUCGGAACGUACCUUAUCGUGGGGGAUAACGCAGCGAAAGUUGCGCUAAUACCGCAUACGCCCUGAGGGGGAAAGCGGGGGACCGUAAGGCCUCGCGCGAUUAGAGCGGCCGAUGUCUGAUUAGCUUGUUGGUGAGGUAAAAGCUCACCAAGGCGAUGAUCAGUAGCUGGUCUGAGAGGACGAUCAGCCACACUGGGACUGAGACAAGGCCCAGACUCCUACGGGAGGCAGCAGUGGGGAAUUUUGGACAAUGGGGGCAACCCUGAUCCAGCAAUGCCGCGUGAGUGAAGAAGGCCUUCGGGUUGUAAAGCUCUUUUGUCAGGGAGGAAACAGCAGCUCUAACACAGUCUGCGAAUGACGGUACCUGAAGAAUAAGCACCGGCUAACUACGUGCCAGCAGCCGCCGCUG